rnacentral:rRNA from 1 species
UACAGAGGGGGCAAGCGUUAUUCGGAAUUAUUGGGCGUAAAGGGCGCGUAGGCGGCCUGGCAAGUGGAAGGUGAAAUCCCUCGGCUUAACCGAGGAACUGCCUCCCAAACUGCUUGGCUUGAGACCGGGAGAGGUGAGUGGAAUUCCCAGUGUAGCGGUGAAAUGCGUAGAGAUUUGGAGGAACACCAGUGGCGAAGGCGACUUUCUGGUCUGUAACUGACACUGAGGCGCGAAAGCGUGGGGAGCAAACAGG